rnacentral:rRNA from 1 species
UACGGAGGAUGCGAGCGUUAUCCGGAUUUAUUGGGUGUAAAGGGUGCGUAGGCGGCUUUUUAAGUCAGCGGUGAAAUUUUGCAGCUUAACUGUAACAGUGCCGUUGAUACUGGGGAGCUAGGAUUUGGUUGCUGUGGGUGGAAUGUGUGGUGUAGCGGUGAAAUGCUUAGAGAUCACACAGAAUAUCGAUUGCGAAGGCAGCUCACAAAGCCAAGAUUGACGCUGAGGCACGAAAGCGUGGGGAGCAAACGGGAUUA